rnacentral:rRNA from 1 species
UACGAAGGGGGCUAGCGUUGCUCGGAAUCACUGGGCGUAAAGCGCACGUAGGCGGAUUGUUACGUCAGGGGUGAAAUCCUGGAGCUCAACUCCAGAACUGCCUUUGAUACUGGCGAUCUUGAGUCCGGGAGAGGUGAGUGGAACUGCGAGUGUAGAGGUGAAAUUCGUAGAUAUUCGCAAGAACACCAGUGGCGAAGGCGGCUCACUGGCCCGGUACUGACGCUGAGGUGCGAAAGCGUGGGGAGCAAACAGG